UACGUAGGGUGCGAGCGUUGUCCGGAAUUACUGGGCGUAAAGAGCUCGUAGGUGGUUUGUCGCGUCGUCUGUAAAAUUCCGGGGCUUAACUUCGGGCGUGCAGGCGAUACGGGCAAUACUUGAGUGCUGUAGGGGAGACUGGAAUUCCUGGUGUAGCGGUGGAAUGCGCAGAUAUCAGGAGGAACACCGAUGGCGAAGGCAGUCUUCCAAGCCGUUAUUGACGCUCAACUGCGAAGGUGUGGGUAUCAAACAGGAUUAGAUACCCUGGUA
rnacentral:rRNA from 1 species